UAGGGAAUCUUCGGCAACGGACGAAAGUCUGACCGAGCAACGCCGCGUGAGUGAAGAAGGUUUUCGGAUCGUAAAACUCUGUUGGUAGAGAAGAACGUUGGUGAGAGUGGAAAGCUCAUCAAGUGACGGUAACUACCCAGAAAGGGACGGCUAACUACGUCGCCAG
rnacentral:rRNA from 1 species